rnacentral:rRNA from 1 species
UACGGAGGGUGCGAGCGUUGUUCGGAUUUACUGGGCGUAAAGGGCGCGUAGGCGGCAAAUUAAGUCAUCUGUGAAAUCUCCGAGCUUAACUCGGAACGGUCAGGUGAUACUGAUCUGCUAGAGUGCGGAAGGGGCAAUCGGAAUUCUUGGUGUAGCGGUGAAAUGCGUAGAUAUCAGGAGGAACACCGGUGGCGAAGGCGGUUCUCUGGGCCUUACCUGACGCUGGAGGAGCGAAAGCGUCGGGGAGCGAACAGG